rnacentral:miRNA from 1 species
CUUGGACUACAAGGGUCCAAGAGAUCAGGACUGAUAUAUAUAUAUAUAUAUAUAUAUCAGUCCAGAUCUCUUGGACCACAGGAGUCCAAGAGAUUAUGGUAUAUAUAUAUAUAUCAGUCCAGAUCUCUUGGACCACAGGAGUCCAAG